CCUACGGGUGGCAGCAGUGAGGAAUAUUGGUCAAUGGGCGAGAGCCUGAACCAGCCAAGUCGCGUGAGGGAGUACUGCCCUAUGGGUUGUAAACCUCUUUUGUCGGGGAGCAAAAGCCGGACGUGUCCGGCUGUGAGAGUAUCCGCAGAAAAAGCAUCGGCUCACUCCGCGCCACCAGCCGCGGUAAUACGGGGGAUGCGAGCGUUAUCCGGGUUUAUUGGGUUUAAAGGGUGUGUAGGCGGUCGGGUAAGUUAGAGGUGAAAUCCCGAGGGUCAACUUCGGUAUUGCCGCUGAUACUGUUGGGCUAGAGAGUGGUUGCGGUAGGCGGAAUGUAUGGUGUAGCGGUGAAAUGCUUAGAGAUCAUGCAGAACACCGAUUGCGAAGGCAGCUUACCAGGCUACGUCUGACGUUGAGGCACGAAAGCGUGGGGAGCAAACAGGAUUAGAUACCCUGGUAGUC
rnacentral:rRNA from 1 species